rnacentral:rRNA from 1 species
CAGCACCUCAAGUGGUCAGGAUGAUUAUUGGGCCUAAAGCAUCCGUAGCCGGCGCUGUAAGUUUUCGGUUAAAUCUGUACGCUCAACGUACAGGCUGCCGGGAAUACUGCAGAGCUAGGGAGUGGGAGAGGUAGACGGUACUCGGUAGGAAGGGGUAAAAUCCUUUGAUCUAUUGAUGACCACCUGUGGCGAAGGCGGUCUACCAGAACACGUCCGACGGUGAGGGAUGAAAGCUGGGGGAGCAAACCGGAUUAGAGACCCGAGUAGUCC